rnacentral:rRNA from 1 species
UAGGGAAUAUUAGAAAUGGACGAAAGUCUGAUCUAGCAACACCGCGUGUGCGAAGAAGGCCUUUGGGUUGUAAAGCACUUUUUGGAAGGAAUAGGAAGGAAUGUACUUCCAGAAUAAGUCUCGGCUAACUACGUGCCAGCAGCCGCGGUAACACGCAGGAGGCAAACGUUACCCGGAUUUACUGGGCGUAAAGCGCGUGUAGGUGGUACUGUAAGUAGGGCGUGAAAGCUCCUGGCUCAACUGGGAGAGGCCGUUCUAAACUACAGAACUAGAGGAUGGUAGAGGGAGGUGGAAUUCCAGGUGUAGCGGUGGAAUGCGCAGAUAUCUUGAGGAACACCGGUGGCGAAGGCGGCCUCCUGGACCAUUCCUGACACUCAGACGCGAAAGCUAGGGUAGCAAACGG